CAGCAGCCGCCACGGGAAUACGUAGGGUGCAAGCGUUAAUCGGAAUUACUGGGCGUAAAGCGUGCGCAGGCGGUUAUAUAAGACAGAUGUGAAAUCCCCGGGCUCAACCUGGGAACUGCAUUUGUGACUGUAUAGCUAGAGUACGGCAGAGGGGGAUGGAAUUCCGCGUGUAGCAGUGAAAUGCGUAGAUAUGCGGAGGAACACCGAUGGCGAAGGCAAUCCCCUGGGCCUGUACUGACGCUCAUGCACGAAAGCGUGGGGAGCAAACAGGAUUAGAGACCCGGGUAGUCCCUGUCUCUUAUAC
rnacentral:rRNA from 1 species